rnacentral:rRNA from 1 species
AUGCUAAAAAUUGAUCUUUCUAAGGCUUUUGAUAGGAUAGAGUGGAGCUUCAUCAGAAGAGCUCUGCUACGAAAAGGGCUGCAUAGUCAUUUCAUCAAUUUAAUUUUAGAAUGUAUAUCUUCUGCUACUUUUUCAGUUAACAUAAAUGGGCAGCCUUUCGGUAGCUUUAAGGGAUCCCGAGGCAUCCGACAAGGAUGUCCUCUAUCGUCGUAUCUUUUUAUACUUGUUGUCAAUGAGUUGUCGCUUUCUUUGCAGGAAGCCUUAGACACUAAUCAUCUUAGCGGUAUUCAACUGGGACCCAACUGUCCUUCUAUUCACUCUUUAAUGUUUGCAGAUGAUUUGAUUGUUUGUGGCAGGGCAGACAAUGAAGAUGCGGAUACUAUUGCUCACAUCCAACCAAUUUUGCGAAGCUUCAGGUCAAACUCCCAACUGGAACAAAUCAGCAAUCUUAUUUAG